UCCUACGGGGGGCAGCAGUGAGGGAUAUUGGUCAAUGGGGGAAACCCUGAACCAGCAACGCCGCGUGAGGGAAGACGGUUUUCGGAUUGUAAACCUCUGUCCUCUGUGAAGAUAAUGACGGUAGCAGAGGAGGAAGCUCCGGCUAACUACGUGCCAGCAGCCGCGGUAAUACGUAGGGGGCAAGCGUUAUCCGGAUUUACUGGGUGUAAAGGGAGCGCAGGCGGCGCGGUAAGUCUGAUGUGAAAGCCCGGGGCUCAACCCCGGGACUGCAUUGGAAACUGUCGUGCUGGAGUGUCGGAGGGGCA
rnacentral:rRNA from 1 species